AUACGGAGGGGGCUAGCGUUGUUCGGAAUUACUGGGCGUAAAGCGCUCGUAGGCGGACCAGUCAGUCAGAGGUGAAAUCCCAAGGCUCAACCUUGGAACUGCCUUUGAUACUGCUGGUCUUGAGGUCGAGAGAGGUAAGUGGAAUUCCUAGUGUAGAGGUGAAAUUCGUAGAUAUUAGGAAGAACACCAGUGGCGAAGGCGGCUUACUGGCUCGAUUCUGACGCUGAGGAGCGAAAGCGUGGGGAGCAAACAGGAUUAGAAACCCUAGUAGUCC
rnacentral:rRNA from 1 species